AGCACGAAAAUAUUUCAUCAAAAAGAGAUACAUUUGCAUGGCCCUUAAACCAAAAUUUGUCUAUAAAUAGCAAGCUUGUUGAUUCAGAAUAACACGUUGUCUUACCAUUAGCGGAAAAACAGGAAUGUCGAAGCCACAUUUAGAGGCUCCUUCUGCUGGAAGAUGAUACCAACAGCCAAAUUCCAAAGAGAUCCUGGAUCUUCAAGGUUUGAUCUGUUGGAUCAUCUGCCUGCAGAACGAAACUCAAUGUGAAAUAACAAGCUAACGUGGAACACGAAAACUGAAGUUGUCACUCCACCCAGCAAGUGAAGUGAUCAGCAGUAAAAACUUUUAAGAAAGGAAGCAGAUCGCAUACAUUUAUGGCCAGAAGAUGGAUGCAGUGGAGGGACAACAUGAAGGUAGAUGCUUAAGAAGGCAGAGUUCUGAGAUCCCAGACCUGCUUCUACUCCUCAAG